AAAUGCACAGGUUGUGAACUCGAAGAGUAGGGCGGGACACGUGGUAUCCUGUCUGAAUAUGGGGGGACCAUCCUCCAAGGCUAAAUACUCCUGACUGACCGAUAGUGAACCAGUACCGUGAGGGAAAGGCGAAAAGAACCCCGGCGAGGGGAGUGAAAAAGAACCUGAAACCGUGUACGUACAAGCAGUGGGAGCACCUUCGGGUGUGACUGCGUACCUUUUGUAUAAUGGGUCAGCGACUUAUAUUCUGUAGCAAGGUUAACCGUAUAGGGGAGCCGCAGGGAAACCGAGUCUUAACUGGGCGUUAAGUUGCAGGGUAUAGACCCGAAACCCGGUGAUCUAGCCAUGGGCAGGUUGAAGGUUGGGUAACACUAACUGGAGGACCGAACCGACUAAUGUUGAAAAAUUAGCGGAUGACUUGUGGCUGGGGGUGAAAGGCCAAUCAAACCGGGAGAUAGCUGGUUCUCCCCGAAAGCUAUUUAGGUAGCGCCUCAUGAACUCAUCUUCGGGGGUAGAGCACUGUUUCGGCUAGGGGGUCAUCCCGACUUACCAACCCGAUGCAAACUACGAAUACCGAAGAAUGUUAUCACGGGAGACACACGGCGGGUGCUAACGUCCGUCGUGAAGAGGGAAACAACCCAGACCGCCAGCUAAGGUCCCAAAGUCAUGGUUAAGUGGGAAACGAUGUGGGAAGGCACAGACAGCCAGGAUGUUGGCUUAGAAGCAGCCAUCAUUUAAAGAAAGCGUAAUAGCUCACUGGUCGAGUCGGCCUGCGCGGAAGAUGUAACGGGGCUAAACCAUGCACCGAAGCUGCGGCAGCGACGCUUAUGCGUUGUUGGGUAGGGGAGCGUUCUGUAAGCCUGCGAAGGUGGCCUGUGAGGGCUGCUGGAGGUAUCAGAAGUGCGAAUGCUGACAUAAGUAACGAUAAAGCG
rnacentral:rRNA from 1 species